rnacentral:misc_RNA from 1 species
GGAGAGUCCUGGACUGGUAUUACUUGCUCGGGCAAUAGAGUUACUGAAAUCAAGAUAUCAGGUCUUGGACUCUCUGGUUCACUGGGCUACCAAUUAACAAGUCUUACAUCCGUGACUAAUUUUGACAUAAGUAAUAACAAUUUGGGAAACCAGUUACCUUUUCAGCUUCCUCCAAAUGUGCAAAGACUAAACCUUGCUGCUAAUGGUUUUAAUGGUGGCCUUCCGUAUUCCAUUUCGCAGAUGACUUCUCUCCGAUACUUAAAUGUCAGUCAUAAUCAAAUUCAAGGACAAGUGACUGUCAUGUUCGACUCUCUGUCUUCUCUCGAUACAUUGGAUUUCUCCUUCAAUUCUAUGACGGGUGAUCUUCCUCAAAGCUUCAAGGCACUGACUAGUAUGAACAAAAUGUAUUUGCAGAACAACCAGUUUACAGGAACUAUUGAUGUCUUAGCCAAUCUUCCUCUGGACGAUUUGAAUGUUGAGAAAAACCAUUUUACUGGCUGGGUUCCUGAUCACUUGAAAGGGAUCACAAAAUCAAAUGGUAACUCGUGGAACUCAGGAUCUGCACCCCCUCCUCCACCUGGCACACCCCCUGCAAGCAGGCCGCACCACAAAUCUGGAGGCAAUAAUAGCCCUUCUGAUGGUGGAAGCAGUGGUGAUGGUGGUGGUAAAUCGGGGAUAGGGGGUGGAGCCAUUGCAGGCAUAGUGAUAUCUGUUCUAGUUGUUGGGGCAAUUGUAGCAUUCUUUGUUAUCAAGAAGAGAUUGAAACGGUCAUCGACGGACAUUGAGAAACAUGAUGAUCAGCCAUUUGCUCCGCUUGCUCCCCCCCAGGAAGUACAUGAGUUGAAAACUAAUGAAGCUUCCUCUGCGCCAAUAAUGAAAGUAUUUGAAGCUCCUGCGGUAGUAAAUCUAAGACCUCCACCUAUUGAACGCCACAAGUCAUUUGAUGAAGCUGACAUAGCAGCAAAACCAAUUGUCCCACCCAAGAAAGUUAAUACAGCUAAAAUAGAUGCAAGACAAUAUUCAAUUGCAGACCUACAGAUGGCGACAGAAAGCUUCAAUGUUGAUAACCUCAUUGGCGAGGGAUCAUUUGGGCGUGUUUAUAGGGCUCAGUUUGAUGAUGGAAAGGUUCUUGCAGUCAAGAAAAUCAACUCUUCUGCACUCCAGAAUCCUGAAGAUUUUCUCGAUAUUGUUUCUGAGAUAUCACGGUUGAACCAUCCAAAUGUUACUGAGCUGGUUGGAUAUUGUUCAGAGCACGGGCAGCAUCUGUUGGUUUAUGAAUUCCACAAAAAUGGUUCUUUGCAUGAUUUCCUGCAUCUGUCAGAUGAGGAAAGCAAGCCUCUAACAUGGAAUAGCCGAGUUAAGAUUGCACUAGGCACAGCAAGAGCACUAGAGUAUCUGCACGAAGUUUGUUCACCAUCUUUGGUUCACAAGAAUAUCAAGUCUGCAAAUAUUGUACUUGAUGCAGAACUCAAUCCUCAUCUAUCAGACUCUGGAUUAGCAAGCCUUAUUAAUGAUGCAGAUCAGGCACUAAACCAUAAUACAGGGUCUGGGUAUGGUGCACCUGAGGUAGC